UCCUGCUCAGCAUCCCUGCGCAGCAUCCCACACGUCCCACUCAGCAUUCCCAUUCGGCAUCCCGUACAACAUCCCACUCAGCAUCCUGCACAACGUCCCGCUCAGCAUUCCAUACAAUGUCCUGCUCAGCAUCCCUGCUCAGCAUCCCGCAAAAUGUCCUGCUCAUUGUCCCUGCUCAGCAUCCCACACGUCCCACUCAGCAUUCCCAUUCGGCAUCCCGUACAACAUCCCACUCAGCAUCCUGCACAACGUCCCGCUCAGCAUUCCAUACAAUGUCCUGCUCAGCAUCCCUGCUCAGCAUCCCGCAAAAUGUCCUGCUCAUUGUCCCUGCUCAGCAUCCCACACGUCCCACUCAGCAUCCCCAUUCGGCAUCCCGUACAAUAUCCCGCUCAGCAUCCUGCACAACGUCCCGCUCAGCAUUCCAUACAAUGUCCUGCUCAGCAUCCCUGCUCAGCAUCCCGCAAAAUGUCCUGCUCAUUGUCCCUGCUCAGCAUCCCACACGUCCCACUCAGCAUUCCCAUUCGGCAUCCCGUACAACAUCCCACUCAGCAUCCGGCUCAGCAUCCCCGCUCAGCAUUCCAUACAAUGUCCUACUUAGCAUCCCUGCUCAGCAUCCCGCAAAAUGUCCUGCUCGUUGUCCCUGCUCAGCAUCCCACACGUCCCACUCAGCAUUCCCAUUCGGCAUCCCGUACAACAUCCCACUCAGCAUCCGGCUCAGCAUCCCCGCUCAGCAUCCCCCUCUGCAUCCCGUACCACGUCCCGCUCAGCGUUCCCGUCACGCUGGGCCGGCGUGCUCAGGGAGUGCCGGGGCACCUCGCUCUGCCGGGCCGGGGCGUCCCUGAGAUCAUGCGCGUGCCCGUAGGGAAGACCCUGCAUAAGCCCAACGUGCAUUUGCCUCGUUAUCCUCCCGUCACAUUCAGCAUUUUCAAGCAAUUUGACUCCUUCCUUUGCUGCCUUUUGUUGGUGCCGGCAUUACAAGAUUACUGUCUCUUCUUUAGUCUUUUUUUUCCGAGAGAUGCUUUCAGAUACACUGAUUUCUCCCAGCACCGGUUUAAAUGUGCCUCUGGCAGCAGCACUUCCCUGGUGGCACGUUCAAACGCCCGGAGCAGAGUAACCACACCGACCGCCGGCUUGCGCUGAGUGGACGACAGCAGCACUGCGCCACAGCGGCUUUUAUUCCCCACAAAGACGUGCAAAAUUAUCAAGCCCAAGUUAAUGUCCACCGCAGGACCCGGUUCCUCUUCUCCUUGCAGACACCCAGCGCGGCCGGCACACCGUGCAGCCGCUCCGGAGCAGCGGUUGGCUUGCGGAUGUCGUGGAGGGGACAUCCGAGUUCACUAAAAGCAUCCCGCGCCGAGGCACUCGGCCCCGCCGGAUCUCUGCCCCGCUCCGGCGCUGAGCUCCCGGCGUCCCCUGUCCUCACCCCAGCAUCUCCUCCAGAGAGGGAGGGAGGAAAAAAAUAACCUGGGCGAAUAAUAAUGAAAAAAUCUAAGAAUCUGAAAAACCUUUUUAUCAGCACCGAGGCUGCGAGGCACGCAGAAGAAAACAAAGUCAGCAGCGGUUGUAAAUUGUCUGGAAACCAUAAAUUAAAAUUAAAGAGUUCAAAUAUGAUAUAAAAUCAUUUAAUCUGGAUGAUUUAUGCUCAUUCUCAGAUGCAAUUAUUUACUGACGCUUCUGUUUAUUGCUCUUUUGACUUUUUUAAUUACUGUAUUCCAAAAAUUCAAUUACCGAGUGUAGUAUAUAUUUCAGGCAAUAGUAUUGUAAAUAAAAAGAGUACCAAUUAAUAA